CAAUAGCGUAUAUUAAAGCUGUUGCAGUUAAAAAGCUCGUAGUUGGAUUUGUGGUGUACUUUGGCGGCCCGUCACUAUGUGAUGGAGCUUGCUGAAGUCGCCAUCCUUGGGUGGAUCCUGUGUGGCAUUAAGUUGUCGUGCAGGGGAUGCCCAUCGUUUACUGUGAAAAAAUUAGAGUGUUCAAAGCAGGCUUAUGCCGUUGAAUAUAUUAGCAUGGAAUAAUAAGAUAGGACCUUGGUACUAUUUUGUUGGUUUGCGCACCAAGGUAAUGAUUAAUAGGGACAGUUGGGGGUAUUCGUAUUUCAUUGUCAGAGGUGAAAUUCUUGGAUUUUUGAAAGACGAACUACUGCGAAAGCAUUUACCAAGGAUGUUUUCAUUAA
rnacentral:rRNA from 1 species